rnacentral:rRNA from 1 species
AAAAAGGCAGGGACACUGUGAAAAGGGAACCCCGAGUGCUCGUAUGUGCGAGCUGUUCAGGUGUAUAAAACGCAUCUGAAGAAAGGGCCGGGCAAGACCGGUGCCAGCCGCCGCGGUAAUACCGGCGGCUCGAGUGGUGGCCAUUUUUAUUGGGCUUAAAGCGUUCGUAGCUUGAAUAUUAAGUCUCUUGGGAAAUCUCACGGCUUAACCGUGAGGCGUCCAGGAGAUACUGGUAUUCUUGGGAUCGGAAGAGGUAAGAGGUACUACAGGGGUAGGGGUGAAAUCUUAUAAUCCUUGUAGGACCACCAGUGGCGAAGGCGUCAGACUGGAACGCGCCUGACGGUGAGGGACGAAAGCCAGGGGAGCGAACCGGAUUAGAUACCCGGGUAGUCCUGGCCGUAAACGAUGCAUACUAGGUGACGGCACGGCCAUGAGCCGUGUCGGUGCCGUAGGGAAACCGUUAAGUGUGCCGCCUGGGAAGUACGGUCGCAAGGCUAAAACUUAAAGGAAUUGGCGGGGG